UACAGAGGUCCCAAGCGUUGUUCGGAUUCAUUGGGCGUAAAGGGUGCGUAGGUGGCGCCGUAAGUCAGGUGUGAAAUCUCGGGGCUUAACUCCGAACUGCAUUUGAUACUGCGGUGCUUGAGGACUGGAGAGGAGACUGGAAUUUACGGUGUAGCAGUGAAAUGCGUAGAGAUCGUAAGGAAGACCAGUGGCGAAGGCGGGUCUCUGGACAGUUCCUGACACUGAGGCACGAAGGCCAGGGGAGCAAACGGG
rnacentral:rRNA from 1 species